GAGCGGCGCCGCGCUCACGGCGCACCCCAAGCUGCCUGCGGCGGGCGCUGUCCGAGGUGCCGAACUCCGCGGUCGCAGGGUGCGCAGGUCCUUCGCUGCCAGUGUCGGGGGUCGGGCGAAACCAGGGCGUCACCAAGUUACUCUGACCUGUAGAUAUGAAGAUUUUGGUCCUAAAGAUUUUAUGACUCCUUGCUAUGCGAAUUAAUUAGAUGAAAAAGCAAUUUUCACAGCCCAGGACACACAGAUAAUGUAGGAGCUUUUUCACAGACACCUAAAGGAGCAGUCGGGGAGGGAGAAGUCAGGUAUUUCCUACUGUCUGCUGCAGCUGUGGAGCAUCUUACAUCCCGCGGUUCCAAACAAGCCUCCCUAGCCUUCUCUGGGUGGUACACGGCUUCCUUCUGCCUUAAAGACCACUAGUUUUUGCCUGGAUCUGACUGCUCCCUACAAAGAAAGAAGGAAGGAAGAAAGGAAGGGCAAGAAAGAAGACUGAUGGCCUUGUGCAUACACCUGCCAUCCGGGGCCGGUGCUGAGGUUCCCAGGCCUAUGGGGGUGCUGGCCAGUGAGGGCCCCUCCAGCAAGGCUGCAGUCACUCUCUGCAAUGCUUGACUUGUGUCACUCCUUCUCCUCCUGGAAGGCUACCAGAGAGGAAAGGACCAGAGUUUCUGGCCAAGGCCGCUGGGGUGUACGUCUCGUCUCAGGCAUCCUGUCUGAGGGUGGUCGUGGGCCGCUCACUCGUCCUCUUACGCCUCAGCAGCCCCUUCCAUGAAGUGGGGAUGACUACGGGUUCAAUAAGAGGUGUCUAGAGGAACUGCCUCCUCUGCCUCCAUCUCUGUGCCCUGACUCGCGUCUUGCUCGGGAAGCCUCGCUCAUCCCAUCUCUCAGAGACGCCUCGUUGGCUGAUGCUCUCCAUUGGCCACGUAUUCACUUGGUCUUUCGUUCAACAACUGUGAACCAAGUGUCUGCCUUCAGGGCGUGGUGCUUGGUGCUGGGGAUAAAGGAGAAGAGACUCCCAGCCCCUGCCCUCGAGGAGGCACAGGCAGGGAUGGAACUGCCAUAGACAGAGGUGAGCCUGAGCUCGUGGGCACGCAUGCGCCCUCACCUCGGCCUGGGAAGGCAGGUGCAAGAGCUGGUUCUGCAGGGCGUCCAGGGUCUGGGGAUGCGCACCAUCACAGCGACAUCAGCACUGAGAAAGCCUAAGUGAUACGUCUGUUCCCAGACUUCGCUGACAUCCCUAGAAUGCCAAGAGGAGUCAGAGACAAAGCAGAGGUGCGGAAGUAUGGGGGAGGGGCCAUGGCAUGACCACGUGAUUGAAGACGUCAACCGGAUGCUGACACUGGGAUGUGCAGGGAUGAAAAAGCACAGAGAACUCGCAGCUCUGUCUCUGUUGGUAGAAGGUAAGGACUUAAUACAGGUCAUUUUGGGCCUGGUACCUGGGGGACUGAGUGAGAUGACAGGGCAGCCGGCGUCUUGAACACUGUCAGAGAGGACACAUCUUUCCCACUGGUUCUCAUGCUGCCAUGGUGACAGUCAGUUAAAAAUAGUUUAGUCAUAAGUUAAGGAGCCAAGUGCACACUGGUGUCCGCAAGCUCCCCGAAGUCUGGAUGGACCAGCAGCAGGGCCCAUUCCAUGCCAGCAGAGGGGGCUUCUCAUGCCAGGGGUGUACCACAUCCUGGGGGUGGAGUAUUUUCUUAUGGCAGCAGCCUGGACUGACAGACGGGGCACAGCCUGCAAAGUGCUGUAAGCAAGUGUAGGAAGCCGGACGACUGCAGCAGCCUCCUCACUGCCCCACUGCCUCCCUGGUCCUCUACACAGCCCUCACCCAGAGCCACUGCCUCAAGGCAUGUACCACCUGUGUUCAUUCAUCAUUCAUUUAUCCCAUGAGCAUGCUCACGCGCAAGAGAGAGAGAGCACCUCCUAAAUUUGUUUAUUCCAUGAGCGAACUCAUGCGCAAGGGAGUGUACCCCCAACUGGGUUCCCAAGCCACAGUCCACCCCAGCUUUGGCCACCCCAGAUCAUGGACCCAUGUAUGCCUAGUAUACUCAGAGAAAUCUCCAGGUGAACCAGGAACUUUCUUAUAUCGAAUUGCAUCAUAAAGAAUCCCUUCUUUCCUUGAGAGAGAUUUUUGCUACAGGGUGUGUGCACUCACUGGAGACACAGAGAGAGA